UACGUAGGGACCGAGCGUUGUCCGGAAUCAUUGGGCGUAAAGAGCGUGUAGGCGGCUCUUUAAGUCCUGCGUGAAAUCCUGCGGCUCAACCGCAGACGGUCGUGGGAAACUGGAUGGCUAGAGUGCGGGAGAGGAGAGUGGAAUUCCCGGUGUAGCGGUGAAAUGCGCAGAUAUCGGGAAGAACACCCGUGGCGAAGGCGGCUCUCUGGAACGCAACUGACGCUGAGACGCGAAAGCGUGGGGAGCAAACAGG
rnacentral:rRNA from 1 species